AGGAACCUGCCUCGGAGUGGGGAAUAACACAACGAAAGCUGUGCUAAUACCGCAUGAUACAGUUGGGUCGCAUGACUCUGACUGCCAAAGAUUUAUCGCUCUGAGAUGGCCUCGCGUCUGAUUAGCUAGUAGGCGGGGUAACGGCCCACCUAGGCGACGAUCAGUAGCCGGACUGAGAGGUUGACCGGCCACAUUGGGACUGAGACACGGCCCAG
rnacentral:rRNA from 1 species